UCCUAUCCGAGAAUGUAUCUGUGGUGUAGCCAGACUUUACUCCACAGCGCUGUGGAGAUAGGUCUGGCAAUGCAAGACUUGUUUGCAACAUGCAACUCCUUCAGGUUUCUUGUCAAGUAAUGCUCUCCAAUUCAGAAGCCACAUUUUAGUCAGCAUUUCUCUCAACAGUUCUCAAGUUUGGAUUACCAGGUUCCCCGGUCCCGUCUCAACACUCCACCUCUGCCCCCUAAAAACAGCACAACCGCACGUUGUCCAUCUCCCUCCAGCCAAUCCCAGACAUCGACUCUGGACAAACCCUCCCACCAACGUUCACAGGCUCACAGUGGAAAUAAAGCACACAGACGAAACAAACAACAGACAAACAUGGAUAGCAGUGCUGAAUUCCUCUCAGAAGCAACGUUUUCGUCUUCCUCUCAGAAAGGUGGCGACAGUGGAGCAGCAUGGCUCGAACCCUCCAGCCCAGUCAAACAGAGACGAAGACAUAAAGAGAGGGAGGAAUGGAGAGCGGGGCCCAGAGAACACACAUGUGACCUGGGAGAGAUGGCGAGAAGAAUGUCGUCCUGACAGAAAAGCAACCUCUGCAAAACCAAGACUCUUUUACUAAAGCGAGAAAUACUGAACCACUAAAAUAUUCAAGAAAGCAGUCCUUGGUGACUGUUAAAGUAGUUUCUGGUUACUGAUCUUUAUAAUUAAAGUGUUCUGAGCCUCCAUUAAUUAUUAAUAGAAAUGAAUGAAAGGCUUGAUCAUGUAAUUAUAUGAUCACAUUAAGGGGGGAAAUCACAUAUCUAGAGUAAAUAAAUGGAAAAAUAGAAAUAUGCUACAUCAUCAUGUAACCCAUACCAUAAGUUUCUUCUCAUAAAAAUGUUAUGUGAGUAAAUAAAGGCCUCUGUAUAACUCAAUCAAACAGUCUUAAAAUAAAACAAGUAAACCUGUAACUGACACAUA